rnacentral:rRNA from 1 species
GACAGGAGGAGCAAGCGUUAUUCAGCUUGAUUGGGCGUAAAGGGUACGUAGGUGGUUAAUCAAAGUAUUGGUGAAAUUCAAGGAUACAAAUCUCGUUGGUUGCUUUUACAAUUAAUUAACUAGAGUCGCGGGGAUGUUUGCAGGAACUGCCCAAGGAGUGUUAAAAUACUGAGAUAGGGGUAGGAACACUGAUUGCGAAGGCAACAAGCAAAUCGAUGACUGACGCUGAGGUACGAAGGCGUGGGGAGCA